GAUGAACGCUGGCGGCGUGCCUAAUACAUGCAAGUCGAGCGAAUGGAUUAAGAGCUUGCUCUUAUGAAGUUAGCGGCGGACGGGUGAGUAACACGUGGGUAACCUGCCCAUAAGACUGGGAUAACUCCGGGAAACCGGGGCUAAUACCGGAUAACAUUUUGAACCGCAUGGUCCGAAAUUGAAAGGCGGCUUCGGCUGUCACUUAUGGAUGGACCCGCGUCGCAUUAGCUAGUUGGUGAGGUAACGGCUCACCAAGGCAACGAUGCGUAGCCGAACUGAGAGGGUGAUCGGCCACACUGGGACUGAGACACGGCCCAGACUCCUACGGGAGGGAGCAGUAGGGAAUCUUCCGCAAUGGACGAAAGUCUGACGGAGCAACGCCGCGUGAGUGAUGAAGGCUUUCGGGUCGUAAAACUCUGUUGUUAGGGAAGAACAAGUGCUAGUUGAAUAAGCUGGCACCUUGACGGUACCUAACCAGAAAGCCACGGCUAACUACGUGCCAGCCGCCGCGGUAA
rnacentral:rRNA from 1 species